rnacentral:rRNA from 1 species
GAGCCACCGCCCGCGUGAGUGAAGAAGGGUUUCGGCUUCGUAAAACUCUGGUUGUUAAAGAAGAACAUAUCUGAGGGGUAACUGUUCAGGUAUUGACGGUAUUUACCAGAAAGCACGGCUAACUACGUGCCAGCAGCCGCGGUAAUACGUAGGUGGCAAGCGUUGUCCGGAUUUAUUGGGCGUAAAGCGAGCGCAGGCGGUUUUUAAGUCUGAUGUGAAAGCCUUCGGCUCAACCGAAGAAGUGCAUCGGAAACUGGGAAACUUGAGUGCAGAAGAGGACAGUGGAACUCCAUGUGUAGCGGUGAAAUGCGUAGAUAUAUGGAAGAACACCAGUGGCGAAGGCGGCUGUCUGGUCUGUAACUGACGCUGAGGCUCGAAAGUAUGGGUAGCAAACAGGAUUAGAUACCCUGGUAGUCCAUACCGUAAACGAUGAAUGCUAAGUGUUGGAGGGUUUCCGCCCUUCAGUGCUGCAGCUAACGCAUUAAGCAUUCCGCCUGGGGAGUACGGCCGCAAGGCUGAAACUCAAAGGAAUUGACGGGGGCCCGCACAAGCGGUGGAGCAUGUGGUUUAAUUCGAAGCUACGCGAAGAACCUUACCAGGUCUUGACAUACUAUGCAAAUCUAAGAGAUUAGACGUUCCCUUCGGGGACAUGGAUACAGGUGGUGCAUGGUUGUCGUCAGCUCGUGUCGUGAGAUGUUGGGUUAAGUCCCGCAACGAGCGCAACCCUUAUUAUCAGUUGCCAGCAUUAAGUUGGGCACUCUGGUGAGACUGCCGGUGACAAACCGGAGGAAGGUGGGGAUGACGUCAAAUCAUCAUGCCCCUUAUGACCUGGGCUACACACGUGCUACAAUGGAUGGUACAACGAGUUGCGAACUCGCGAGAGUAAGCUAAUCUCUUAAAGCCAUUCUCAGUUCGGAUUGUAGGCUGCAACUCGCCUACAUGAAGUCGGAAUCGCUAGUAAUCGCGGAUCAGCAUGCCGCGGUGAAUACGUUCCCGGGCCUUGUACACACCGCCCGUCACACCAUGAGAGUUUGUAACACCCAAAGUCGGUGGGGUAACCUUUUAGGAA